rnacentral:rRNA from 1 species
GACGAACGCUGGCGGCGUGCUUAACACAUGCAAGUCGAACGAAGUGGCGAACGGGUGAGUAACGCGUAAUCAACCUGCCCUUCAGAGGGGGACAACAGUUGGAAACGACUGCUAAUACCGCAUACUGAAGGAGGGGAUUGCGUCUGAUUAGCUAGUUGGAGGGGUAACGGCCCACCAAGGCGAUGAUCAGUAGCCGGUCGGGGAAGGUGGACGGGCAAAUUGGGAACGAGACACGGCCCAGACUCCUAAGGGAGGGAGGAAGGGGGAAACUUCCGGAAAGGGCGAAAGGCUGGCGGAGCAACGCCGGGGGGGUGGUGGCGGCCUUCGGGGUGGAAAGCUCUGUUAAUCGGGACGCGGUACCGGAAUAGAAAGCCACGGCUAACUACGUGCCAGCAGCCGCGGUAAUUC